CGGCUUGGGACUGCCUGGCGGGGCGGGGCCGAGCGGGGCGGGACGGGAUGCUGGCUCCACUCUAGGCCGCUGGCCGCCAGUCGCCUUGCGCUCUGUGGCGCCUAGACAUUGCCUCCAGUAAUCUGGCGGUAGAGGGGAACUCGUCAGCGCUGCGAGGGGGGUGAAAGUUCAGACCCUGGGCUGGGUGACGUCAGCGAGGGGGCGGGGCGCCUCGGUGCUUCUCGGCGGAGGGGAAAGUCCGGGCUGUUUCAGUUGAGCCAAGGAAUGGGAGGCGCCCUAGCCUGCCCGCAGGCCACAGCGCUUGGAAUCCUGCCUUCCCUGCUAUCUCCCUGAGGCAAGGGGUUGGAGGAGUGUUUCUCAAUGAGUCUCCACCUUACUUAUUGAGACACAGUGUGUCACUGAACCUGGAGCUCACUGACUCAACUUGACUGGGUAGCCAACAAACCCUAGGGACCCUGCUAUCCCUCAGCUUCUCCAGGAUUGUGAUUCCAUGCAUGUAUCACCGUGCCCAGGACGUUCUGACAAAUGCUCUAGCAUUAAGCCAAGUGAAAUCAGCCAGUGACAAAAAUACAAAUGUUCUGAUCACACUUAACUAAGCUUCCUGUGUCUCUCAGCUUCCCCGAGAGACACUUCUCCUUGGUACCAGCUGUGCCUUCCCUGGGUGUGCAGCUGAGUUGUUUGCAGUUAACGAGCUUCAGAAAAUGUCAGCAUGAGGAAGCUGGAACAUGUGUGCCCGGGAGGAAGAGGGAAGCAUGGCUGAGACCCUCUUGGAACAUCUGAUCCUCUUGCCUCCACAGUGCUGGGGUUAGAUGUAGGCCUCUGCCUGGUGUAGUUUUAUGGGGAUUCUUGGGACGGAAUGUGGGGCUUUGUGUGUGCUACCGAGCUAUAGGUACAACCCAAACUCUGCCUUCUAAAUAAGCGUAAGUGAAUUAGGGCCACCAUUAUUCAUUGGAACAUUUUUGUUGGAAAUAAACGCUUCUGCUUUCCUUUGAUAGUGUUAGGAAGACAAAAAUGCCAUUUUUAACUUUUAUUGUUUGUUUUUUUUUUUUUUUUUGAGACAGUGGUUUACUUCUCUGGCUGGCUUUGAACUCAGAGAUCCACUUGUCUUUGCUUCCCAAGUGCUGGGAUUAAAGGCAAGGCCAUCUUUUAAUCUUUCAGUGCCUUUAAUAUUUAAAAUGGGCUUCUUAGACAACAAAUAGUAAGCCUUUUCUUUUGAUCACCUCUGACUAGCUUGCUCCGGCUCUUUCUCCCGGUUCUCGUUCCAGUUCCCACCCCAUUACCUAGCUUGCUUGAUCUCUUUUUUUGUGCUGGAGAUGCCGCACAGGGUACCAUACAUUGUAAGCCUUGGUUCUAUCACUAUGCUACAGGCCUAGUUCUGCUGUCUUUUAAUUGGUGUAUUUGGACUACUGAUGCUUCUAGUACUAUCAAUAUAGCUGUAUUUCUGUCUCCCAUGUUUGUUAUUCCUUUCUGUUCUUUGACCUUGUUCUUUGAUCUCUUUCAUUCUUUUCCUACCCUUCCUGGUGUUAAUUGAGCAUUUUAUAAGGUUCCAUUUUCUCUUCUUUUUUUUUUCCGGAGCUGAGGACCGAACCCAGAGCCUUGCGCCUGCUAGGCAAGCGCUCUACCACUGAGCUAAAUCCCCAACCCCUUUUCUCUUCUUUCUUAGCAUGUCAAUUAUACUUAAAAAGAAUAAACACCUAAAGAAGAGCUCAUGAGCUCCACUUCAGCCACUUCAGUUGAGAC
ensembl:lncRNA